UAAGCACUAAGCUUGCUUCAGCUUCUUUGUCUAUUAAGUUGGUUUUUACCGUGAGGGUGGUUGCUGAGAUUAUCCGUGUCAGGAUGUAUGAUCACAUGGUCACUGCAAGUUUUUCUGUCCUGGGCCACCAUUAGAACCGCCCAAGCGGUGUUGAAAUCGCUGCUGCUAUGUGUUCUUUUAUAAGAUCAAAAGCCGAGCUUACACGUAGCAUUUGAAGCUAUUUCUGCUUUUGGGAAAGCAAGCGGAGCAGAGGCUUCAGUUGCUGCUGAAUUUGGGCUGAGAGAAACGAGUUCAGUUGACGCGUUUGGAUUAUGGUUUCGCGUAUCGAGCUUUACCUUUUCAGGAACCGGAUGAAGAAGCAUUAAGAAGAGUUAUACUGUGUUUGGUUUAUAUACUGAUGUAUUAAUUAGAUUAUUUUCUUCCCUCGUCCUUAUUAUUACAAGUUUGUAAGAGGGAUAGGAAUUGUAUGUUUUAUAUGUAUAAUAUAUUGAAUUAUUAUGUAAGGAGUCUUGUAUAUGAAUCUAUGC